rnacentral:rRNA from 1 species
UACGGGGGGAGCAAGCGUUGUUCGGAUUUACUGGGCGUAAAGCGCGCGCAGGCGGCCUCGCGCGCCCGACGUGAAAGCCCCCGGCUUAACCGGGGAGGGUCGUUGGGGACGGCGGGGCUUGAGGGCGGGAGAGGGUGGUGGAAUUCCCGGUGUAGUGGUGAAAUGCGUAGAGAUCGGGAGGAACACCCGUGGCGAAGGCGGCCACCUGGGCCGACCCUGACGCUGAGGCGCGAAGGCGUGGGGAGCGAACGGG